rnacentral:rRNA from 1 species
UUCCGGUUGAUCCCGCCGGACCCGACUGCUAUCAGAGUGGGACUAAGCCAUGCGAGUCAACGCCGCAAGGCGUGGCGUACGGCUCAGUAACACGUAGUCAACAUGCCCAGGGGACGUGGAUAACCUCGGGAAACUGAGGAUAAACCGCGAUAGGCCAAGGCUUCUGGAAUGGGCCAUGGCUGAAAUCUAUACGGCCCCUGGAUUGGACUGCGGCCGAUCAGGCUGUUGGUGAGGUAAUGGCCCACCAAACCUGUAACCGGUACGGGCUUUGAGAGAAGGAGCCCGGAGAUGGGCACUGAGACAAGGGCCCAGGCCCUAUGGGGCGCAGCAGGCGCGAAACCUCUGCAAUAGGCGAAAGCUUGACAGGGUUACUCUGAGUGAUGUCCGCUAAGGGCAUCUUUUGGCACCUCUAAAAAUGGUGCAGAAUAAGGGGUGGGCAAGUCUGGUGUCAGCCGCCGCGGUAAUACCAGCACCCCGAGUGGUCGGGACGAUUAUUGGGCCUAAAGCAUCCGUAGCUUGUUCUGCAAGUCCUCCGUUAAAUCCACCUGCUCAACAGAUGGGCUGCGGAGGAUACUACAGGGCUAGGAGGCGGGAGAGGCAAACGGUACUCAGUGGGUAGGGGUAAAAUCCUCUGAUCCAUUGAAGACCACCAGUGGCGAAGGCGGUUUGCCAGAACGCGCUCGACGGUGAGGGAUGAAAGCUGGGGGAGCAAACCGGAUUAGAUACCCGGGUAGUCCCAGCUGUAAACGAUGCAGACUCGGUGGAUGGGUUGGCUUCGAGCCAACCCAGUGCCGCAGGGAAGCCGUUAAGUCUGCCGCCUGGGGAGUACGGUCGCAAGACUGAAACUUAAAGGAAUUGGCGGGGGAGCACCACAAGGGGUGAAGCCUGCGGUUCAAUUGGAUUCAACGCCGGAA